UGCUAAUAACCGAUAACAAACAGAUGAUGCCUAUCAAACUGUUUAAAAGAUGGUUCUGCUAUCACUCUUGGAUGGACCUGCGGUGCAUUAGCUAGUUGGUAGGGUAACGGCCUACCAAGGCGAUGAUGCAUAGCCGAGUUGAGAGACUGAUCGGCCACAUUGGGACUGAGACACGGCCCAAACUCCUACGGGAGGCAGCAGCG
rnacentral:rRNA from 1 species